rnacentral:rRNA from 1 species
CCUACGGGUGGCAGCAGUGAGGAAUAUUGGUCAAUGGACGGAAGUCUGAACCAGCCAUGCCGCGUGCCGGAAGCCGGCUCUCUGAGUUGUAAACUGCUUUUGUACAAGGGUACACCUGAAUACGUGUAUUCAGCUGACAGUACUGUACGCAUAAGGAUCGGCGAACUCCGUGCCAGCAGCCGCGGUAAUACGGAGGAUCCAAGCGUUAUCAGGAUUUAUUGGGUUUCAAGGGUGCGUAGGCGGAUUGAUAAGUUAGAGGGGAAAUGUCCGAGCUUAACUCGGGAACUGCCUCUAAUACUGUUGAUCUAGAGAGUAGAUGCGGUAGGCGGAAUGCAUGGUGUAGCGGUGAAAGGCUUAGAGAUCAUACAGAACACCGAUUGCGAAGGCAGCUUACCAAUCUAUAUCUGACGUUGAGGCACGAAAGCGUGGGGAGCAAACAGGAUUAGAUACCCGGGUAGUC